rnacentral:lncRNA from 1 species
CGCCGCUGCUAUGGGCGCCACUGUUGUUGUGAAGCCCCGACGCCGCCGCUCACUCCGCCAUGUUGCCGCCCCCUGCCUGCGGUAGCGGCCACUGCGCCUGCGCAGAGCCUCCGGGGGGCGGAGCCCUGGCGGCACCCCCUCUUUCGCCCUGCCCUCCUUCUCCUUCCACCCACCCACCCCGACACCCCUUGUCCCUCCCCCAACCACUCUGAACGGAUAGACAGGUGAGCAGGUGCAUGGGGACCGCUGCCAGACACUGGGGCGAGCUGGCGGAGGCGGGGCGGGUGGUGGCUUCCUCGUAAUUUCUCCCUGGAGGGUGGAUUCUCCCUGUGGGGAAGGACACAGAGUGUGUGUGUCUUGCCUUCGCUGCCACCUCCUUAUUCCCUCAAUAUCCUCUUGCUAGGGGGAGAUUCAUCUUCGUCGUCGCACCCAGCUGCUGCUACUGCCAGUGCCACGUGCCUUGCAAGGGCAAGGCGAUAUGGAAGCACAGGUUCCAUCCCUGGACUAGUGCAGUGGGUUAAGAAACUGGCAUUGGCACAACUAUGGGAUAAAGAAGCACCAGCAGAGCUGGCGAGCAGAAACCUGGCCUCAGGGCAAAAGAGAUGCCACAGAAAUAGUUACACAGGCCUCGGAAGGGAAGCCUCCACUGCGUGUACGGCCCCCGUGGACUGCCACAGGAUUUCCUAGGAUCCUCCUGGAAGCCUCAAAGAAUGGGUCAGAUUUUUUGGAUUCUAAGCAUCAUGACACUCUAUAAAAGAGAGCCUGGAGCAACCUUGAAAUUAAGCCACACAGGCAGCCAUUUACUUGGUUAAUGAACAUUGCUAUUUCAUUGGUUUUAAGGUAAGUAUAAUUUAGAUCAAUGCCUUGAAGAAACACUGUAAAUUAUCACUUGGAGAGUUUUCCAUUCUCUUUCAAGAGCAGCUCCUAUCUUCAUUGUAACAACUGCUUUUUCCAGAGGGACCAUGCCUGCAGUAACUCUUCAUGUAUAACAUCAUAGGUACCUGUAUCACUUUUGUUGUAAUGUAAUCCAGUUCAUGUUUAUUCCAUUUUACAAUUAACUUGGGGAAACAAGGAACCGUUGAACCACUAGCAUGAAUUGAAUCUAUGAGAAUUUUUCAUCUUCACGAAAUUUAUCCUGAAGUGCUUUUCUUUAGAUUUCUGACAUAUUUGAAUCGAAGAUUUGAGAAUACUAAAGUCACUGUCAGUUACCACGAGGGAAUGCGUUUAGAAAUAUUUUUCAAUUUGGUGAUCACAAAAGAAAUUUGACAUACAUUUAAAAACUGUCAGUUUACCAUUUUGUGGUUAUCACCAAGGAUAAAAUACAUUGUAAUUUUAAAUGGCAGAGUUUGUUAUAGAAAUCAGUUUUGCCAUUGUCUUUUGAGUAUUGCAAAUGCAAAGACCAUAUAUUAAAGUCCAGGAUUUAUAUAAUCUUUAUAAAAUUCUGGGAUAAACCAGAUUUGUGAAUUUGCAUGACACAGACAUCAGAUGUGUGACUAUGGGGUUUGUAGAUGAAUGGUAGGGUUUGUUCUAAUGUCUUUAAUCACCUCUCACACCUUUCAAUUCAUCAUUUUGAAAAUGGUAAUUGAGUAUGACCAUAUUCUGUUGUGCAAAAAUGACUUAGAAACCAUAGGGACUACAUUCUCCAGUGUGCGCAAAGAGCAUUUCUUCUUGGAUGUUAAAAAGCAUUAAAUUGAAAUUCGAUAUAUUAAUGUAAUUUUACCCG